AUGUGUGUCGAGAGCAAACACACACACACACACACACACACACACACACACAGAAUGACCCACGAGAAAGGGAAAGGGGAAAACACCAAUCCUGCGCUGGGCUUUUUCGACUUUUCCUUUAAAAAGAAAAAAGUUUUUCAAGCUGUAGGUUCCAAGAACCGGCAGGAGGGGGGCGAGGCGGGGUGGGGGGGUGUACAGAAAAGGCGCCUGGUCGGUUAUGAGUCACAAGUGGGUUAUAAAAGGGUCGCACGUUCGCAGGCGCGGGCUUCCUGUGCGCGGCUGAGCCGGGGCGCAGCGCGACGGUCCCAUCGGGCGGCCUCCACCCUCGGGACGCGAGCGGAGCGCCGAGCCCAGCGGCGAUCACGCGACGCGGGGAAGGAAGGAAGUGUGACUACCACUUCACUUUCAUAUAUCUCCUAAGACACAGCUGGACUCAGUGAAUUCAUUUCCUCUAUCGCCAGAGAGAGUCAGA
rnacentral:lncRNA from 1 species